rnacentral:rRNA from 1 species
GGCGGUAGGCCUAACACAUGCAAGUCGAACGGCAGCACAGUAAGAGCUUGCUCUUACGGGUGGCGAGUGGCGGACGGGUGAGGAAUACAUCGGAAUCUACUUUUUCGUGGGGGAUAACGUAGGGAAACUUACGCUAAUACCGCAUACGACCUACGGGUGAAAGCAGGGGAUCUUCGGACCUUGCGCGAUUGAAUGAGCCGAUGUCGGAUUAGCUAGUUGGCGGGGUAAAGGCCCACCAAGGCGACGAUCCGUAGCUGGUCUGAGAGGAUGAUCAGCCACACUGGAACUGAGACACGGUCCAGACUCCUACGGGAGGCAGCAGUGGGGAAUAUUGGACAAUGGGCGCAAGCCUGAUCCAGCCAUACCGCGUGGGUGAAGAAGGCCUUCGGGUUGUAAAGCCCUUUUGUUGGGAAAGAAAAGCAGCAGGUUAAUACCCCGCUGUUCUGACGGUACCCAAAGAAUAAGCACCGGCUAACUUCGUG